rnacentral:rRNA from 1 species
CACGGGGGGAGCAAGCGUUGUUCGGAAUCACUGGGCGUAAAGGGCGUGUAGGCGGUCAGGUUAGUGAGAUGUGAAACGCCCCGGCUCACCCGGGGACCUGCAUCUCAAACUGCCUGGCUUGAGUAUGGGAGAGGAUGAGGGAAUUCCUGGUGUAGCGGUGAAAUGCGUAGAUAUCAGGAGGAACACCGGUGGCGAAAGCGCUCAUCUGGCCCAAUACUGACGCUGAGGCGCGAAAGCUAGGGGAGCAAACGGG